GUCUAUGCUGUAAACGAUGUGCACUUGGUGUUGGGCCGAUUAGGCUCAGUGCCGUAGCUAACGCGAUAAGUGCACCGCCUGGGGAGUAUGCCCGCAAGGGUGAAACUCAAAGGAAUUGACGGGGGCCCGCACAAGCGGUGGAUUAUGUGGUUUAAUUCGAUGAUACGCGAGAAACCUUACCAGGGUUUGACAUGCACAGGAAUAGUUUAGAGAUAGGCUAGCCCGCAAGGGUCUGUGCACAGGUGCUGCAUGGCUGUCGU
rnacentral:rRNA from 1 species